AACGAACGCUGGCGGCAGGCUUAACACAUGCAAGUCGAGCGCCCCGCAAGGGGAGCGGCAGACGGGUGAGUAACGCGUGGGAAUCUACCCAUCUCUACGGAAUAACGCAUGGAAACGUGUGCUAAUACCGUAUACGUCCUUCGGGAGGAAGAUUUAUCGGAGAUGGAUGAGCCCGCGUUGGAUUAGCUAGUUGGUGGGGUAAAGGCCUACCAAGGCGACGAUCCAUAGCUGGUCUGAGAGGAUGAUCAGCCACACUGGGACUGAGACACGGCCCAGACUCCUACGGGAGGCAGCAGUGGGGAAUAUUGGACAAUGGGCGCAAGCCUGAUCCAGCCAUGCCGCGUGAGUGAUGAAGGCCCUAGGGUUGUAAAGCUCUUUCACCGGUGAAGAUAAUGACGGUAACCGGAGAAGAAGCCCCGGCUAACUUCGUGCCGGCCGCCGCAGUAAUAC
rnacentral:rRNA from 1 species